ACAGCAGCCCUAGCCUAGCUCAGCAAAGUGCGCUACUCGUCCGGGUUACUCGCAACGGGGGUGUGGGGCGGGCCCGAGGGAGCGUUCAUCUCGAAGACACCCUCCUCUCUGGCCCGCCACGUGCUCUCAGCUGGCCUGUACCGCAAGCCUCCCCCAGCUACCCUAGCUGUCCUUCCCGAAUGUAGGCGCCUUGAGGCAAGGCCGUCUAGGACUGGAAUGACCUUGAACUUCUGAUCCUCCUGCCUCUACUUCCUGAACAGCAGGAUUACAAAACAGGAGCUACCCUGCCUGGUUUCGGCAGGGCUGGAGAUGGGAUGCGGGGAUUUGUAUGAGCUGGAAAUGAGAAUGCCGCCCACUGACCCGCCUUCCCAGCCUGCAACAACUGAAGAAUCUAAUAAGUCACCACUGUGGCCAGUACCCAGCUAAGUCCAGCCAACACCCGGCUCAGUGAGGAUGUACCACCGGUGACUCCAUGAAAGAGUAAACCAUGCUGACUGCCUGUACCCUGCAACUUGAGGAGGCUUGCCAAGAACCACCUGGAGCCAUCACAUUUGGUACUUAGUCUUCUCACAAGUGAAAACAGAUUCAGGAGAGCAGGCUGGGAGUAUUUCAGGAUCCAUUCUGAAAUUAUAUCUCUGUUGUAUAACAGUUUCCUCAAGAUUGAAACAUUCCAUCCUUGGGGGACGUCCUUAAACCAGAAGGUUAACAAUUCAAAAUAGCUUCAGGAAGUCCCUGAAACGGACCAGAUUCGCUAGGCCCCUCCCUACCAGAUUAAACAAUGAAGUAGAGAGUCCCUCUGAGACUCACUGAGCUGCAGAGGAGGCUGAGACCAGAUCCACUGCUUGGAAGAAGCAGAAACCCCCUGAGCUAUGUGGAAGAGGCUUAGACCAGACUCACUUGGUCUAAAAGAAAGCACAUUCUUCACUGUUUGAGCUGCCUGCAGGCUGGACAGUGUGUUUCAGGUCCCCGGCUUUGUGAGCUGUCAAUCAUGCUGGGGUGGGCUUUGUUGAUGCAACUGUCUGUGAGUCAUUUCUGCCCCUAAUCCACACUCCUAUAAGUAACCCCAAUAAAACUCAUUGGUUGUCC